AGGACGAACGCUGGCGGCGUGCUUAACACAUGCAAGUCGAGCGGAAAGGCCCUUCGGGGUACUCGAGCGGCGAACGGGUGAGUAACACGUGAGCAACCUGCCCUUGGCUCUGGGAUAGCCUCCGGAAACGGGGAUUAAUACCGGACAUUCACUUUCUCCUGCAUGGGGGUUGGUGGAAAGUUUUUCGGCCAGGGAGGGGCUCGCGGCCUAUCAGCUUGUUGGCGGGGUAACGGCCCACCAAGGCGACGACGGGUAGCCGGCCUGAGAGGGCGAUCGGCCACACUGGGACUGAGACACGGCCCAGACUCCUACGGGAGGCAGCAGUGGGGAAUAUUGCACAAUGGGCGCAAGCCUGAUGCAGCGACGCCGCGUGGGGGAUGAAGGCCUUCGGGUUGUAAACCCCUUUCACCAGGAGCGAAUCAAGACGGUACCUGGAAAGAAGCGCCGGCUAACUACGCGCCAGCAGCCGC
rnacentral:rRNA from 1 species